rnacentral:lncRNA from 1 species
GGACCCGGAAGUUCCGGGCCGGGUGCCAGGUGCCAGUAAGUCGUGUAAGGUUUACGUGGAAACUGGGGUCAUGGCUGCUCCCGGCCCAGCGCUCUGCCUCUUCGACGUGGACGGGGCUCUGACCGCUCCCAGGCAGGGGUACCUUCAUUGAAUUCCGAAACGGGAUGUUGAACGUGUCUCCCAUCGGAAGGAGCUGCAGCCAAGAAGAACGCAUUGAGUUCUACGAACUUGACAAAAAAGAAAAUAUCAGACAAAAAUUCGUGGAGGAUCUGCGGCAAGAGUUUGCAGGGAAAGGCCUCACAUUUUCCAUAGGUAUUGUAUGUCUGAAUGGGUUUCACCGUCUGGAAGCCAUUUGCCGGCAGGUGGUUGGGGGCCAUCGCGCUCUUGAGCCUGAACUGCACUGGCGUUGCAGAUGGGAAGGGGGCUGAGCAAGAGGAGGGGGCUCUCCAUAAGCAGCCGUAGCAGAGACUUGCUGAGGUAGGAGUGACUACCAAGCUGCCGGGUUUCGUUUAAAAUUCUCACCCAGCCAGGAUUCUUCCUCCCUGUGCUUCUCCUGGUCAAAAAUAAGAGCAUCUCGGAGUUGCCUGGUAGCCUAGGGUUAGGGCUUCAGCGUUGUCAUUGCUAUGGCACAGCUUUGAUCUCUGGCUGAGAAUUUCCACACACCAUGGACCCGGCCAAAAUAAAGUAAAUAAGAGCCUCUUACGUAGUGACGAGGAAGAACUUAGCCCCAUACCUCUGGGAGAAGCCAGCAUGCAGGUGACGCCACAGGAGAGAGAUGGGACGGGGCCCCUGAGGAGCCUGAGUGUAUUCCGACUCCUGUAGGGUUUGAACGGCGAGGAGCCAGACUCGUCACUUGGGUUAGUCUUAACAAAUCAAGACGGCAAAGCACAGGAGUUCACGCUGUGGCACAGUGGCUUAAUGAGCUGGCUUGUCUCUGUGGCACUGGCCUGGCACAGCAGGUUAAGGAUCUGGUGUCGCCAUGCUUAGGUCGCAGAUGAUGCUCAGAUUCUAUCCCUGGCCCAGGAACUUUCAUAUCAAACAAAAGAAAGAAAAACAAGGCCUUGAGGAGUUCCCUGGUAGUGCAAUAGGUUCAGGAUCCAGUGUUGUCACUGCUGUGGCUCAGGUUCAGUCCUCGGACCAAGAACUUCCACAUGCCAUGGACGCAACAACAACAACAAAAAAACCCGAGGCCCAGAAUGGGGAGAGGGUCUGUCUGCUGUGGAGCUGCCCUGCGGCGCCUGGGGGUGCAACGUGCCUGUCACCUGCUGAGAGCAGGCCGAUUGCCGUCAUGAACCAUUCCUUUCUUCUUUUUUUUUUAAUUGAAGUAUAGUUGAUUUAAGAUGUGGCAUUAGUUUCAGGUGUACGUGUAUCCACUCCAUUAUACUUAUACCCAUUCUUUUGCAGGUUCUUCUCCCACGUAGGUUAUUGCCGUUUUUUUGUUUUUGUUUUUGUUUUUUGUCUUUUUAGAGCUGCGCCAGGGGCAGAUGGAGGUUCCCAGGCUAAGGGUCCAAUCAGAACUGUAGCUGCCGGCCUACACCACAGCUCACAGCAACACCAGAUCCUUAACCCACUGAGCGAGGCCAGGGAUCAAACCCGCAACCUUAUGGAUACUAGUCAGGUUCACUAACCACUGAGUCACAAGGGGAACUCUGAGGUUGUUGCAGGAUAGUGAAUAGAGGUCCCUGUGCCACACAGCACAUCCUGUUCAUCUGUUUUCUUUAUGGUAGUGUGUGUAUAUUAAUCUCAAACUCCUGGUUGAUCCUCCACCCUCCCUUUGCCCUUAGGUAACCAUAGGUUUUUUUGAAGUAUGUGAGUUUGUUUCUGUUUUAUUAAUCAGUUCAUUUGUAUCAUUUUUUUUUAGAUUCCACCUAUGAGUGGUAGGUGGUAUCUGUCUUUGUAUGACUUCACUUAGUAUGAUCAUCUCUAGGUCCAUCCGUGUUGCCGCAAAUGGCGUUGUUUCAUUCUUUACUACGGCUGAGUAACAUCCCAGUGUGUGUGUGUGUGUGUGUGUGUGUGUGUACAUAGGUGUACUCACACACACACCACAUCCUCUUUAUCCACUCCUCUGUCUGUGGACACUUAGGUGGCUUCCAUGUCUUGGCUGUUGUAAAUAGGGCUGCAGUGAACAUCGGGGUGCAUGUAUCUUUUCGAAUUAUGGUUUUCUGUGGAUAAAUGCCUGGGAGUGGGAUUGCUGGAUCAUACAGUAGUUUUUAGGGUUGGUUUUUUUUUUUUUUUUUUUUUUUUUUUUUGAGGAACCUCCAUAGUGUUUUACCAAUUUACAUUCCCACCACCAGUGUAGAGGGUUCCCUUCUCUCCACACCGACUCCAGCAUUUAUUUGUAGACUCUUUGAUGAUGGCCAUUCUGACUAGUGUGAAGUGGUACCUCAUUGGGGUUUUUUUGUUUGGUUUUUUUUUUAGGGCCGCACCUGCAGCAUAUGGAGAUUCCCAAGCUAGGGGUCCAGUCGGAGCUGCAGCCACCGGCCUUUACCACAGCCAGAGCAAUGCUAGAUCCCAGCUGCGUCUGCGACCUACACCACAGCUCAUGGUAACACCAGAUCCUUAACCCACUGAGCAAGGUCAGGGAUCGACCCUGCAUCUUCAUGGAUAUUAGUCAGAUUCAUUAACCACUGAGCCACAACGGGACCUCCUCGUUGUAGUUUUGAUUUAUGUUUCUCUAAAAAUUAGCAGUGUUGAGCAUCUUUUCAUGUGCUGUUUGGCCAUGUUGUCUGUCUUUGGAGAAAUGUCUAUUUAGGUCUUCUCAAUUUUUGACCAGACUUUUUUUUUAUAUUGAGCUGCCUGAGCUGUUUGUGUAUUUUCGAAAUUAAUAACCCCUUGUCAGCCACUUCACUGGCAAAGAUUUUCUCCCAUUCUGUGGGUUGUCUUUUUGUUUUGUCUAUGCUUCCUUUGCUGUGCAGAAGCUGUUGAGUUUAGUUUGGUCCUAUUCAUUUAUUUUUAUUUUCAUUUUCAUUCCCCGAGUAGGUGAAUCCAAAAAGAGAGUGUUGUGAUUUAUGUCAAAAAGGGUUCUGCCUGUGUUUUCCUCUAGGCGUUUCACAGCACCUGGUCUUACAUUUUGGUCUUUUAAUCCAUUUGAGUCUAUUGUGUGCAUGGUAUAAGAGAAGGUUCUAACUUCAUUCUUUUACCUGUGCUGUCCAGUUUUCCCAGCUCUGCUUAUUGAAGAGGCUGUCUUUUCUCCAUUGUAUAGUCUUGCCUCCCUCGUUGUAGAUUAAUUGACCAUAGUCGUGUGGGUUUAUUUCUGGACUCUCUACCUUGUUCCAUUGAUCUAUGUUUGUGGUUUGUGCCAAUACCAUACUAUUUUGAUUCCUGUAGCUUUGUCAUACAGUCUGAAGUCAGGGAGCCUGAUUCCUUCAGCUCCAUUUUUCUUUCCCAGGAUUGCUGAUGGGCCAUUUCUUAAAGCCCUCUCCUUUCACCAGCUCCAAUAAGCAUGCACUUGCUGGAAACCUGGCCUUGCAGAAAGAUCCUGUAUAAGAGAUGAACAGGUGGAUUGUUCAGUGCCCUUGAACCAGGAGGUGAACGUUUUCCUGACAAAGCUUUGACAGGACUUUUGUUGCCUAACAAAGCUGCCCUCAGUCCUCUUUCACAGGGGCUUCUUUCUUGCCCCCUGAGCUGGAUGCAGGCUGCUUACAGGCCCUUCCACCAAGCAGGUGCGGGCCCAGAGCAAGCAUGGCCGAGGGAGGCUGUUGACAGCUCCAGGCGCUGGGCCCAGCACGUGGAUGCAGGUGUGGGUCCUGCUCCAAGUCACCACUCUGCCUCUCUUUUUUAGAUUUUAGAUUUUUAGUGAAAUAAUGCUGGGGGGAAAAAUAACAUAAUGCAAGAAUUAAUUUCUAGAACCUACCCCCAGAGUGUUGUACCCUGGGAACUAGGGUAAUAAAAUCAACCCCAGCACUCCAGUCGCUGACAAGAGCGAAGGGCACACUUUUUGCCGGGACAUCUCACUCGCCUCCCUUUCAUAUUGACUGUGUGUUUCUCCCCCGGCCCGCAGGAGGCCAGAUCAGCUUUGAUGUCUUCCCCGACGGCUGGGACAAGAGGUACUGCCUGGGGCACGUGGAGAAGGACGGCUAUAAGACCAUUUAUUUCUUUGGAGACAAAACUAUGCCUGUAAGUGUGGAAGCGCCUUGGCAGUUUCCUUGUUCAGAUGGGGUUUGAAGUGGGGGCGGGCAGGGGACGUGCAAAUGGGCUCCCCCACCCACCCUUUACCUGGCCGCCCAGCUCAAACCAAGUGACAGGGGUUGGUGAGGGAGCCCCUUCUUCUCCCCAUUGGCUCCGAGGGUCCAGCCUUUCACUUUGGCUUUAAAUUUGUCACCCACCUGUCUUCCAGAACUUUAGGCAAUGCUCUCCACUGGUCCUCAUGGCAUUUCUAAGCCUUCAGCCGGUUUUAUUUUUCUGCCAGGACAGUGAGUGAGGUUGGCCAUGAGGACUCUUAAACAGUAGGAGCAGGGGAAGCUCAUGAGUCUGAAAUUCAGGAGCGAGAUGGGGACAGGCCGGGCCUCCCACACAGGGGACAGGGAGCUGUUCCCAGGGCUGUUGGAAAUCCCGGAUCUGGGACUGAAUCUAAACUGGGGACAGAGCAGAGCCCCGUGUGAAGAGGCCCAUGCCAGCAGGAGGACUGUCCCCAGAGCCACCCAGGCAGCAGAAGCAGAGCGAGGCUCUUCUGGGGACUGUGGAUCCCCAAGGAGGCCGGAUGGAGGGGUAUGGCUGCCAGUGAGGCCCCGAGGGGCCGCAGCCCCAUGGUCCCUGCCCGCCAGACCACCUCGUCUACAUCCCUCUGUGUCCCUCUCUUGCCUCCCACAUGCCCCCGGUGGUGGGAGCUCCCUUGGCGUCAGGCGUCCUGGCUGAGGCUUUGUAGCUGUGCGGUACCACAGGUGCAUCAGAAAGGCUGCAUAUCCGAGGUCCGUAUCCCUCUGGUCCCUGGUCCACCUCAGUCCGUGCUGUCCCGCCUAGUUCUGUCCCACGGAGGCCUGCCGUCUUCCCUGAGAUCUCCGCGUGCUAGGCUUCCAGCACGAAAGGGACUCUGGAGAGUACCGUCUCAUGUCCCCCUUUCCCAAUUAUCAAACUGGGGCCCAGAAAGAGUAAGUAACCUACCCAAGGCCACACAGCUCUUGAGUGAGCCGGUAGCACGAGAGCCGACUCCGUGCUCUUUGAAUGAGUCCACUUUCCCGAUCACAGCCGCCCGCCUCUGCCACGGGGCAGGGGGCAGACCGUCCCCCCCCCAGGAGCUGAGUCCGGCUGCCGUGCUCUAGGGGCAGGUGGACAUGGCUGUGACACCUCCUUUCGUUGCACUGCUCUGACCUGGAAGUGCUUUGAAUUCAGGCCUUGAAAUUUAAUUCUUACCUACUUUUUAAAAAAAUGGAUACUAUUGAAUGGCGGUCCCCCCCUUCAGUUCUUAAUGUGUGUUCACUGUAGAAAAUCAAACGAAGUAUAAAGUCAGUGUCCCUACAAAUCACAGCUGACACGCCUCCCAGCCCUUUUGCAGGUAUGCGAUCCCAGAUGUGGGACCUGUCGUGUUCACUCUUUUCUGCUUUUGUUCCCUGACUGCUCUUUGAAACCAAGCUUUGCAUGGCCGUGUCACUUUCUAGCAUUCGGGCGUAGUCGUCGUCAACGUACCUGUUUUCCCAGCAGAGGCCCCAGGUGGGGGUGGCAUCUUGCCGGUGUGACUCUGGCAGACACUCCUGCGUCCUCCUCAGCCCGCCCCUCUGUCGCCGGUUUCCUGGAAAUGGGUAACAGUGCUGCCGUCUCAACCUUAACGAGUUAAGGCGCAGAGCAGGCCCAAGACGAGCUUUAAACUUCUCACAUUUCAGCAAUAGACAUUUUGAAAGCAGUUUUCUUUCUUUGUGUCAAGGCAGAUGUGUUUGCUGGCUUCCAGGCAAACAGCUCCAGAGCUAAGCGCCUUUUCCCUAUCAGGGUCAGCUGCCUCAGCAGCCUGCCCAACAGCGUCCUCCCUCCCAGCGGCUCCACCUCCAUCCGACAGGGUCUGAUGUCACAGCGGGUCCCCUCUGUGUGUCUGUCCCUGCUCCCACCCCGCCCCAGGCAUCUCCCGAAAGCUGAGUACAGAAGUGAGAGGCUGGCGCUUGCUUUUCUAACCCCUCGUAGGUCCCGGAAACCCCUCCAUCCUUCCUGGCAGCUGCAACAGCCAGUGUCCAUUAAAACUCACCUCCGAGUUCAGCGUUGAGGCGAUGGGGCUGUGCCAGCCAGGUCCCCUGAGCUCAGCCUCUCUGAAUUCCUGGGCCACAGUGCCUGUUCAAUGGCUUUUUUUUUUUUUUAGGGCCGUACCCGCAGCAUAUGGAUGUUCCCAGGCUAGGGGUUGAAUCGGAGCUGUAGCUGCCGGCCUACACCACAGCCACAGCAACAAGGGAUCCAAGCCGCGUCUGCAACCUACACCACAGCUCAUGGCAGUGCCAGAUUCUUACCCCACUGAGCAAAGCCAGGGAUUGAACCCAAAACCUCAUGGUUCCUAGUCAGGUUUGUUUCUGUUGCACCACGGAAGGAACUCCUGUUUAAUGCUUUUUGUAAAAACAAAAUCAUGGCUUUACGGAGUUCCCUUUGUGGCACAACAGAAACGAAUCUGACUAGGAACCAUGAGGUUGCAAAUUCGAUCCUUGGCCUCACUCAGCGGGUUAAGGAUCUGUCAUUGCUGUGGCUCUGGCAUAGGCCUGCAGCAAUAGCUCAGAUUAGACCCCUAGCCUGGGAACCUCCAUAUGCCUCCGGUGCAGCCCUAAAAAGACAAAAAAAAAAAAAAAAAA